rnacentral:rRNA from 1 species
AUGAACGCUGGCGGCAUGCCUAACACAUGCAAGUCGAUCGGUAAGGCUCUUCGGAGUACACGAGAGGCGGACGGCUGAGUAACGCGUAGGAACACACCCUGCAGUGAGGGAUAAGACACCGAAAGGUGUUCUAAUACCGCAUACGGUCUUCGGAUUAAAGCAUUUAUGCGCUGAAGGAGUGGCCUGCGUCAUAUUAGAUAGUUGGUGAGGUAAUGGCUCACCAAGUCGAUGGUGUGUAGCUGGUCUGAGAGGAUGAUCAGCCAGACUGGAACUGAGACACGGUCCAGACUCCUACGGGAGGCAGCAGUGAGGAAUAUUUCACAAUGAGCGAAAGCUUGAUGGAGCAAUGCCGCGUGCAGGAUGAAGGCCCUCGGGUUGUAAACUGCUUUUAUAAGAGAAGAUUAUGACGGUAACUUAUGAAUAAGGGACGGCUAACUACGUG